GAAAACUCAAGAACAACGUAAACCUUCAAAGAAAACCACAACCUCACCAGAAACCCGCGCUUUCCCACAGACAACCAAACGAGCGCAAGAACUCAAACUCUACCGAACGAAUCACGCAUAAACAGCAGAAAACCUCACUUCACCGAACAAAACUCGAAACGAACGGUGGAAAAAUGCGAAUUCACCGAACAAAACUCAGACAAA
rnacentral:lncRNA from 1 species